rnacentral:rRNA from 1 species
AAGCAAUUAUACAGCGAAACUGCGAAUGGCUCAUUAUAUAAGUUAUCGUUUAUUUGAUAGUACCUUACUACUUGGAUAACCGUGGUAAUUCUAGAGCUAAUACAUGCUAAAAAUCCCGACUUCGGAAGGGAUGUAUUUAUUAGAUUAAAAACCAAUGCCCUCUGGGCUCCUUGGUGAUUCAUGAUAACUCUUCGAAUCGCACGGCCUUGCGCCGGCGAUGGUUCAUUCAAAUUUCUUCCCUAUCAACUUUCGAUGUUUGGGUAUUGGCCAAACAUGGUUACAACGGGUAACGGAGGGUUAGGGCUCGACCCCGGAGAAGGAGCCUGAGAAACGGCUACUACAUCCAAGGAAGGCAGCAGGCGCGCAAAUUACCCAAUCCCGAUUCGGGGAGGUAGUGACAAUAAAUACUGAUACAGGGCUCUUUUGGGUCUUGUAAUUGGAAUGAGUACAAUUUAAAUCUCUUAACGAGGAACAAUUGGAGGGCAAGUCUGGUGCCAGCAGCCGCGGUAAUUCCAGCUCCAAUAGCGUAUAUUAAAGUUGUUGUGGUUAAAAAGCUCGUAGUUGAACCUUGGGCCUGGCUGGCCGGUCCGCCUCACCGCGUGCACUGGUCCGGCCGGGCCUUUCCCUCUGUGGAACCCCAUGCCCUUCACUGGGCGUGGCGGCGAAACAGGACGUUUACUUUGAAAAAAUUAGAGUGCUCCAGGCAGGCCUAUGCUCGAAUACAUUAGCAUGGAAUAAUGAAAUAGGACGCGUGGUUCUAUUUUGUUGGUUUCUAGGACCGCCGUAAUGAUUAAUAGGGACAGUCGGGGGCAUCAGUAUUCAAUUGUCAGAGGUGAAAUUCUUGGAUUUAUUGAAGACUAACUACUGCGAAAGCAUUUGCCAAGGAUGUUUUCAUUAAUCAGGAACGAAAGUUAGGGGAUCGAAGACGAUCAGAUACCGUCGUAGUCUUAACCAUAAACUAUGCCGACUAGGGAUCGGACGAUGUUAUUUUUUGACGCGUUCGGCACCUUACGAGAAAUCAAAGUGCUG